AUAUUCCUGUGGGUCGCCUGCUGUCCACCUCGAGUGGCAUCUGACCGGAAGGCCCUUCUCUCCCUGGGCUCUGGCCUCCAUCUUUUCUGCCCCAGGACCCCCUGCCUCUUUCCAGCCCCUUCUGCACCCCAAGAUCCCAGCUCGGCCCUGGGGUCAGAGCCCGCAGGACACCUCAUUCCUACACACACCUCUGCAGGCUGGAUGCUCCGCGUCCUCCCGACGGACUCCGGCUGGAACUGCGCGAAGGAGGCUCUCCUGCUCCUUCUUACCAAAAGGCUCCUCCCAGGAUGAGGUGGGUGGAAAGAGAGAAGAGGGGGCAAAUUUCAUGAGAAAAAAGGCUCAUUAAAAAAAGUGUGCAAGGAGGGGCAGGCCUUGGGAGGAUCAGAGAAGAGGGGGCAGGCCUGGGGGGGAGCUGAGAGAGGGUCGUGCAGGCUGUGUGCAGGGGCUGGACAGCAGAACCCAAGGACAGAGGAAGGGGCGUGUAUCACCUCGGGGCCUGGGGGGACAGGGGUGCCCAGGCACCCAGGGUGGAAACAGACAACCCCCAGCUGUGUUUUCAGGGCUCAUGGGUCACGGAGCAGAGCCAGGCGGGAGUUCCAGCUCUGCAGGCCAGCCGGAGGGGACAGCACCCCGCCCCCUUGGCUUGCCUCAGGCUCGGGGGUGGCCUGGGUUCCACCCAGCGAUGCCUGAAUCCCGGGCACAGUCAGCCCCAGGACCUGGCUCCCCAACUUGGAGAGAGGCCAGAAAAGCACAGCCACUGGAGCAGUCGGGACCCACCGGGGACGGAGCCGCAGAAACAGACCAUCUGUCAAUCGCCCUUGGACCCCAGAGCCAGUCCUGCCGGUUGAAGUGUGUUAUUUGGAUGCUGCAGAGAGAUGUGUUUUCUUUAUCUGCGAGGCCGUUAACACCUCUCCUCUAAAUGACGCUUCAAAGACCCUAUUUUAUACAGACAACUUCAAAAGGACCUCUGAGCUUUGGCUCCAGGCCUCGCCCUGGGAACCAGGGCAGAACGAGACAGACCCUGGAGACACUACAGAUGGAAUACUACUGCAGGAGGGCCAGAGGUCCUGCAAUUUGGUCCAGAAAACAGGAACGGGAAGAGUCCAUGUUGGGUGAGUGUAUUAAUUUCCUCUUUCUACUGUAGCAAAUUGCCCCAAAUUUAGCAGCUUAAAACAACAGAAAUUUAUCAGGUCACGGGUCAGAUGUCCAGGCUCUACCGGUUUCUCUCUGCUCCAGGUUUUACAAGGGCAAAACCAAGGCGUCAGCCAGGCUGGCCUCUGAUCAGGGAGUUCUGGGAAGAACCAUUUCCAAGGUCAUUCGGGUGAUGGCCAAGGUCAUUCAAG
rnacentral:lncRNA from 1 species